UGGGGAAUCUUGCACAAUGGGCGAAAGCCUGAUGCAGCGACGCCGCGUGCGGGAAGAAGGCCUUCGGGUUGUAAACCGCUUUCAGCAGGGACGAGGCGAAAGUGACGGUACCUGCAGAAGAAGCCCCGGCUAACUACGUGCCAGCAGCCGCGGUAAUACGUAGGGGGCAAGCGUUAUCCGGAUUCAUUGGGCGUAAAGCGCUCGUAGGCGGUCUGUUAGGUCGGGAGUUAAAUCCGGAGGCUCAACCUCCGCCCGCUCCCGAUACCGGCAGACUUGAGUUUGGUAGGGGAAGGUGGAAUUCCUAGUGUAGCGGUGGAAUGCGCAGAUAUUAGGAAGAACACCAGUGGCGAAGGCGGCCUUCUGGGCCAUAACUGACGCUGAGGAGCGAAAGCUAGGGGAGCAAACAGG
rnacentral:rRNA from 1 species